rnacentral:rRNA from 1 species
AUUGAACGCUGGCGGCAGGCCUAACACAUGCAAGUCGAGCGGAUGAAGGGAGCUUGCUCCUGGAUUCAGCGGCGGACGGGUGAGUAAUGCCUAGGAAUCUGCCUGGUAGUGGGGGAUAACGUCCGGAAACGGGCGCUAAUACCGCAUACGUCCUGAGGGAGAAAGUGGGGGAUCUUCGGACCUCACGCUAUCAGAUGAGCCUAGGUCGGAUUACCUAGUUGGUGGGGUAAAGGCCUACCAAGGCGACGAUCCGUAACUGGUCUGAGAGGAUGAUCAGUCACACUGGAACUGAGACACGGUCCAGACUCCUACGGGAGGCAGCAGUGGGGAAUAUUGGACAAUGGGCGAAAGCCUGAUCCAGCCAUGCCGCGUGUGUGAAGAAGGUCUUCGGAUUGUAAAGCACUUUAAGUUGGGAGGAAGGGCAGUAAGUUAAUACCUUGCUGUCUUGACGUUACCAACAGAAUAAGCACCGGCUAACUUCGUG